AUUCGAGUAGGCUGGCAAGCCCCAGGAAGAAGGCUGGCAGUCAGAGUGGCCACUACAGCUCUCUGCAGCAGACCCUCUUCCCAGGCCAGACAGCUCAGCCUUUGCCAGGUAAUAUCAGUUCUGGAGAAGAAUGCUGCAACUACCAAAAGAAUAAAGAAAGAAAAGCUAUGUACAUAUGAGAGAGAGAGAGAGAGAGAGAGAUGUUGCUUAAACCUUACCAUGUCAGUUUCUGCUUUAUCACUAUCCCUGAAAUAGUCUACAACUGAGAGCACAAAGGACCCAGUUAUCCUAUUGCAGGGUCUGGGCUUUGCUAGCAUUGUCAGUUCUGUUAUAUUUUAAGCUAUAUAAAAUGGCAAAGCUUAAUAAUGGAAAAUAAGAGUUCUACAAGGAAAAUGAACAAAUUUGAAAGAAAAACAGGUUGAAUGAUGAACUUCAGUGAAGGCAGAUGGUCACAAUGGUAUUAAAAACUAAAGACUUCAGUCAGGCUUUUAAUUGAAAACAAUUGGACCCUGCUGGAUGGUAAUUACCUUGGCUGCUUGCAAAUAACAUCCCAGCACUGCUACCU